rnacentral:rRNA from 1 species
AAGCUCGUAGUUGAAUUUCGGGGUUAUAGGUUGGUCAUGCCUCUGGUAUGUACUGGUCUCACUGAUUCCUCCUUCCUUAUGAACCGUAAUGCCAUUAAUUUGGUGUUGCGGGGAAUUUGGACUGUUACUUUGAAAAAAUUAGAGUGUUUAAAAGCAAGCUAACGCUUGAAUACAUUAGCAUGGAAUAAUGAAAUAGGACGUUCGAUCUUAUUUUGUUGGUUUCUAGGAUUGACGUAAUGAUUAAUAGGGAUAGUUGGA